rnacentral:rRNA from 3 species
UUAAGCGACUAAGCGUACACGGUGGAUGCCCUGGCAGUCAGAGGCGAUGAAGGACGUGCUAAUCUGCGAAAAGCGUCGGUAAGGUGAUAUGAACCGUUACAGCCGGCGAUGUCCGAAUGGGGAAACCCAGUGUGAUUCGUCACACUAUCGUUAACUGAAUACAUAGGUUAACGAGGCGAACCGGGGGAACUGAAACAUCUAAGUACCCCGAGGAAAAGAAAUCAACCGAGAUUCCCCCAGUAGCGGCGAGCGAACGGGGAGCAGCCCAGAGUCUGAAUCAGCUUGUGUGUUAGUGGAACGGUCUGGAAAGUCCGACGGUACAGGGUGAUAGUCCCGUACACCAAAAUGCACAGGCUGUGAACUCGAAGAGUAGGGCGGGACACGUGGUAUCCUGUCUGAAUAUGGGGGGACCAUCCUCCAAGGCUAAAUACUCCUGACUGACCGAUAGUGAACCAGUACCGUGAGGGAAAGGCGAAAAGAACCCCGGCGAGGGGAGUGAAAAAGAACCUGAAACCGUGUACGUACAAGCAGUGGGAGCACCUUCGGGUGUGACUGCGUACCUUUUGUAUAAUGGGUCAGCGACUUAUAUUCUGUAGCAAGGUUAACCGUAUAGGGGAGCCGCAGGGAAACCGAGUCUUAACUGGGCGUUAAGUUGCAGGGUAUAGACCCGAAACCCGGUGAUCUAGCCAUGGGCAGGUUGAAGGUUGGGUAACACUAACUGGAGGACCGAACCGACUAAUGUUGAAAAAUUAGCGGAUGACUUGUGGCUGGGGGUGAAAGGCCAAUCAAACCGGGAGAUAGCUGGUUCUCCCCGAAAGCUAUUUAGGUAGCGCCUCGUGAAUUCAUCUUCGGGGGUAGAGCACUGUUUCGGCUAGGGGGUCAUCCCGACUUACCAACCCGAUGCAAACUACGAAUACCGAAGAAUGUUAUCACGGGAGACACACGGCGGGUGCUAACGUCCGUCGUGAAGAGGGAAACAACCCAGACCGCCAGCUAAGGUCCCAAAGUCACAGUUAAGUGGGAAACGAUGUGGGAAGGCACAGACAGCCAGGAUGUUGGCUUAGAAGCAGCCAUCAUUUAAAGAAAGCGUAAUAGCUCACUGGUCGAGUCGGCCUGCGCGGAAGAUGUAACGGGGCUAAACUGUGCACCGAAGCUGCGGCAGCGACACUAUGUGUUGUUGGGUAGGGGAGCGUUCUGUAAGCCUGCGAAGGUGGCCUGUGAGGGUUGCUGGAGGUAUCAGAAGUGCGAAUGCUGACAUAAGUAACGAUAAUGCGGGUGAAAAGCCCGCACGCCGGAAGACCAAGGGUUCCUGUCCAACGUUAAUCGGGGCAGGGUGAGUCGACCCCUAAGGCGAGGCCGAAAGGCGUAGUCGAUGGGAAACAGGUUAAUAUUCCUGUACUUGGUGUUACUGCGAAGGGGGGACGGAGAAGGCUAUGUUAGCCGGGCGACGGUUGUCCCGGUUUAAGCAUGUAGGCGGAGGUUCCAGGUAAAUCCGGUACCUUUUUAACGCUGAGGUGUGAUGACGAGGCACUACGGUGCUGAAGUAACAAAUGCCCUGCUUCCAGGAAAAGCCUCUAAGCAUCAGGUAACAUUGAAUCGUACCCCAAACCGACACAGGUGGUCAGGUAGAGAAUACCAAGGCGCUUGAGAGAACUCGGGUGAAGGAACUAGGCAAAAUGGUGCCGUAACUUCGGGAGAAGGCACGCUGAUAUGUAGGUGAAGCCCCUGCGGGUGGAGCUGAAAUCAGUCGAAGAUACCAGCUGGCUGCAACUGUUUAUUAAAAACACAGCACUGUGCAAACACGAAAGUGGACGUAUACGGUGUGACGCCUGCCCGGUGCCGGAAGGUUAAUUGAUGGGGUUAUCCGUAAGGAGAAGCUCUUGAUCGAAGCCCCGGUAAACGGCGGCCGUAACUAUAACGGUCCUAAGGUAGCGAAAUUCCUUGUCGGGUAAGUUCCGACCUGCACGAAUGGCGUAAUGAUGGCCAGGCUGUCUCCACCCGAGACUCAGUGAAAUUGAACUCGCUGUGAAGAUGCAGUGUACCCGCGGCAAGACGGAAAGACCCCGUGAACCUUUACUAUAGCUUGACACUGAACAUUGAGCCUUGAUGUGUAGGAUAGGUGGGAGGCUUUGAAGCGUGGACGCCAGUCUGCGUGGAGCCAACCUUGAAAUACCACCCUUUAAUGUUUGAUGUUCUAACGUUGGCCCCUUAUCGGGGUUGCGGACAGUGUCUGGUGGGUAGUUUGACUGGGGCGGUCUCCUCCCAAAGAGUAACGGAGGAGCACGAAGGUUAGCUAAUCCUGGUCGGACAUCAGGAGGUUAGUGCAAUGGCAUAAGCUAGCUUGACUGCGAGCGUGACGGCGCGAGCAGGUGCGAAAGCAGGUCAUAGUGAUCCGGUGGUUCUGAAUGGAAGGGCCAUCGCUCAACGGAUAAAAGGUACUCCGGGGAUAACAGGCUGAUACCGCCCAAGAGUUCAUAUCGACGGCGGUGUUUGGCACCUCGAUGUCGGCUCAUCACAUCCUGGGGCUGAAGUAGGUCCCAAGGGUAUGGCUGUUCGCCAUUUAAAGUGGUACGCGAGCUGGGUUUAGAACGUCGUGAGACAGUUCGGUCCCUAUCUGCCGUGGGCGCUGGAGAAUUGAGGGGGGCUGCUCCUAGUACGAGAGGACCGGAGUGGACGCAUCACUGGUGUUCGGGUUGUCAUGCCAAUGGCAUUGCCCGGUAGCUAAAUGCGGAAGAGAUAAGUGCUGAAAGCAUCUAAGCACGAAACUUGCCCCGAGAUGAGUUCUCCCUGAGACUUUAAGUCUCCUGAAGGAACGUUAAAGACGAUGACGUUGAUAGGUCGGGUGUGUAAGCGUAGCGAUACGUUGAGCUAACCGAUACUAAUGAACCGUGAGGCUUAACCUU